AAACCCUAGCUACCUCGCUCUCUCUCUCUCUCUCACACACAUCCCUAGUCUCCACCUAGGGUUUCAUGCCAAGAAAAUCUACCAUCUAAUCCAAGCUUCCACAUUCUCUUUGUUUUUUUCUUUAGGUUUUCUAGAUUAACACCCAGAUUCCAUGCAAGACAUCUGUCUAUGGCUGGUAUUAGAGUAAUGUCAGGUUCUAACAAUUGGUAUCAGAGCGAUAUCAAGUUCCCUUCAAUUAGUAUCAAAGCCAGAUUGAGCAUGG
rnacentral:lncRNA from 1 species